rnacentral:tRNA from 1 species
GGCCGCCUGGCGAAAUGGCAUCGCGUCUGACUACGAUGAUGGUGUAAUCAGGAGAUUGCAGGUUCGACCCCUGCGGUGGUCA